rnacentral:rRNA from 1 species
GAUGAACGCUGGCGGCGUGCUUAACACAUGCAAGUCGAACGGAAAGGCCCAAGCUUGCUUGGGUACUCGAGUGGCGAACGGGUGAGUAACACGUGGGUGAUCUGCCCUGCACUUCGGGAUAAGCCUGGGAAACUGGGUCUAAUACCGGAUAGGACCACAUUUUGGAUGGUGUGGUGGAAAGUUUUUCGGUGUGGGAUGAGCUCGCGGCCUAUCAGCUUGUUGGUGGGGUAAUGGCCUACCAAGGCGUCGACGGGUAGCCGGCCUGAGAGGGUGUACGGCCACAUUGGGACUGAGAUACGGCCCAGACUCCUACGGGAGGCAGCAGUGGGGAAUAUUGCACAAUGGGCGCAAGCCUGAUGCAGCGACGCCGCGUGGGGGAUGACGGCCUUCGGGUUGUAAACUCCUUUCGCUAGGGACGAAGCGUUUUUGUGACGGUACCCGGAGAAGAAGCACCGGCUAACUACGUG